CCUACGGGAGGCAGCAGUGGGGAAUAUUGCACAAUGGGGGAAACCCUGAUGCAGCGACGCCGCGUGAGUGAUGAAGUACUUCGUUAUGUAAAGCUCUAUCCGCAGGGAAGAAAAUGACGGUACCUGCGUAAGAAGACCCGGCUAACUACGUGCCAGCAGCCGCGGCAAUACGUAGGGGGCAAGCGUUAUCCGGAUUUACUGGGUGUAAAGGGUGCGUAGACGGUGGUGCAAGUCUGGAGUGAAAGUCGGGGGCUCAACCCCCGGACUGCUCAGGAAACUGUACGGCUGGAGUGCAGGAGAGGUAAGUGGAAUUCCUAGUGUAGCGGUGGAAUGCGUAGAUAUUAGGAGGAACACCAGUGGCGAAGGCGACUUACUGGACUGUAACUGACGUUGAGGCACGAAAGCGUGGGGAGCAAACAGGAUUAGAUACCCCAGUAGUC
rnacentral:rRNA from 1 species